CUACGGGUGGCACCAGUAGGGAAUUUUGCGCAAUGGGGGCAACCCUGACGCAGCAACGCCGCGUGAGUGAAGAAGGUCUUCGGAUUGUAAAGCUCUGUUUACGGGAAAGAAGAGUAUAAUCGCUAAUAUCGGUUAUAUUUGACGGUACUCGUGGAGAAAGAACCGGCUAACUCCGUGCCAGCAGCCGCGGUAAUACGGAGGGUGCAAGCGUUGUUCGGAAUUAUUGGGCGUAAAGGGCGCGCAGGCGGGGAUACAAGUCACAUGUGAAAUCCCACGGCUUAACCGGGGACGUGCGUGUGAAACUGUAGUUCUUGAGUGUUAGAUGGGAAAGCGGAAUUCCAAGUGUAGGAGUGAAAUCCGUAGAUAUUUGGAGGAACACCAGAGGCGAAGGCGGCUUUCUGGCUAAACACUGACGCUGAGGCGCGAGAGCGUGGGGAGCAAACAGGAUUAGAUACCCCAGUAGUC
rnacentral:rRNA from 1 species